UACGUAGGGUGCAAGCGUUGUCCGGAAUUAUUGGGCGUAAAGAGCGUGUAGGCGGCCAGAUAAGUCCGCUGUGAAAUCUCGAGGCUCAACUUCGAGCUGUCGGUGGAAACUGUCUGGCUAGAGUCCGGAAGAGGAGAAUGGAAUUCCUGGUGUAGCGGUGAAAUGCGCAGAUAUCAGGAGGAACACCGAUGGCGAAGGCGGCUCUCUGGGACGGUACUGACGCUGAGACGCGAAAGCGUGGGGAGCAAACAGG
rnacentral:rRNA from 1 species